rnacentral:rRNA from 1 species
AGAGCGAACGCUGGCGGCAUGCUUAACACAUGCAAGUCGCACGGGCAGCAAUGUCAGUGGCGGACGGGUGAGUAACGCGUAGGUAUCUAUCCAUGGGUGGGGGAUAACGCCGGGAAACUGGUGCUAAUACCGCAUGACACCCGAGGGUCAAAGGCGCAAGUCGCCUGUGGAGGAGCCUUCGUCCGAUUAGCUAGUUGGUGGGGUAAAGGCCUACCAAGGCGACGAUCGGUAGCUGGUCUGAGAGGAUGAUCAGCCACAUUGGGACUGAGACACGGCCCAAACUCCUACGGGAGGCAGCAGUGGGGAAUAUUGGACAAUGGGCGCAAGCCUGAUCCAGCAAUGCCGCGUGGAUGAAGAAGGUUUUCGGAUUGUAAAGUCCUUUCGGCGGGGACGAUGAUGACGGUACCGCAGAAGAAGCCCGGCUAACUCGCGCCAGCAGCCGC